ACGGGAGGCAGCAGUGAGGAAUAUUGGUCAAUGGGCGGAAGCCUGAACCAGCCAUGCCGCGUGAGGGACGAAUGCCCUAUGGGUUGUAAACCUCUUUUGCCGCAGAGUAAUAAGGGUCCUGCGGGGCCCGAUGAGAGUAUGCGGCGAAUAAGCAUCGGCUAACUCCGUGCCAGCAGCCGCGGUAAUACGGAGGAUGCAAGCGUUAUCCGGAUUUAUUGGGUUUAAAGGGUGCGCAGGCGGCACGUUAAGUCAGCGGUGAAAUGCAGGGGCUCAACCCCGGCACUGCCGUUGAAACUGGCGAGCUCGAGUACGGAUGAAGUCGGCGGAAUGUGAUGUGUAGCGGUGAAAUGCUUAGAUAUGUCACAGAACACCGAUUGCGAAGGCAGCUGACUAAUCCGCAACUGACGCUCAGGCACGAAAGCGUGGGGAUCGAACAGGAUUAGAUACCCUGGUA
rnacentral:rRNA from 1 species